AUUGAACGCUGGCGGCAGGCCUAACACAUGCAAGUCGAGCGGAGCGGGGGACGGGUGAGUAAUGCCAAGGUAUCUGCCUGGUAGUGGGGGAUAACGUCAGGAAACGGGCGCUAAUACCACAUACUAUCAGUUUAGCAUAGUCCGGAUUAGCUAGUGUGGGGGGUAAAGGCCUACCAAGGCGACGAUCCGGAACUGGUCUGAGAGGAUGAUCAGUCACACUGGAACUGAGACACGGUCCAGACUCCUACGGGAGGCAGCAGUGGGGAAUAUUGGACAAUGGGCGAAAGCCUGAUCCAGCCAUGCCGCGUGUGUGAAGAAGGUCUUCGGAUUGUAAAGCACUUUAAGUUGGGAGGCGUUACCAACAGAAUAAGCACCGGCUAACUUCGUGCCAGCCGCCGCUGUAAUAC
rnacentral:rRNA from 1 species